AAAAAAAAAUUCUUCUUUAUAAUUCUUUCUUUCGAAAAUUAAAAAAAAAAUCAAAAUCCAAAAAAAAUAGAGUUAGUUUAUUUACUUUAUUCCUGAUUUUCCUGAACUACGCAAGAUCUGAUUCAUGUUCCCACAUGAUACGUAGGCAACCUACAUCGGGUUCAAUCGAAUUAUUUUUAAAAUUAAAAGAAAAAAAAGAAGAAAAAAAAAGAAGAAAAAAAAAUGAAGUUGUGAGACGAGGGGAAAGAAAAGAAUGAUAAUCUGAAAGAAAAAGAGAUGAAAGAAAAUGAGCAAACCAAGGAGUGUAAAGAGGAAAGAGAAGAGGGAGGCUAGAACAAGCAAAUUGGGACGAUGCCCUAUGACUUUCGUACCCUCGAAGUCAUUUUAGAACUGUUAACUGUGAUUAGGUACAUUGCACAUAAUGUGAGAUUAUCUUAUGUUAAAUGCCCUAUCUCUAACGUGAUGACUUCACUUUGUUCCUCUUUGUUGCUUCAUUAUAGCAGAAGGGUGGUUGGUUUGUGGUUCUUAAACUGGUAACUCUUCCUUACAACAUAAAGUCGAAAGGCAAUGGCAGACGACAACGAAAUUGAGUUAGUUGAUACUGGUGCCCAAAAGAAAUUGGUUGAACAAGAUACUGGGUUGGUUGAAGAGGUAAGGAUGUUAAGACAACACAUGGCGGACAUGUAUCAGGCUUGGAUGACUGGGAAAGCACCACCCCCGCCACCACCUAGCUUCCUAGAUGCACCCUCACCCAAGCCCACCUGGAGAAUGAGGGAAUUUAUUUCAAAUUUUAAAUCAUCACGCGCCCACCUGGAGAACGAGGAAAUUUAUUUCAAGUUUUAAGUCAUCAGGCGCCCACCUGGAGAACAAGGAAAUUUAUUUCAAGUUUUAAGUCAUCAGGCGCCCACCGGAGAACGAGGGAAUAUAUUUCAAGUUUUAAGUCAUCAGGAGCACACCUGGAGAACGAGGGAAUUCAUUUCAAGUUUAAGUCAGUCGCAGGCACCCACCUGGAGAAUGUGGAAAUUCAUUUCAAGUUCAAGGCAUUAGCAGGCACCCACCUGGAGAAUGAGGGAAUUCAUUUUAAGUUUCUAGUCAUUAGCAGGCGCCCACCUGGAGAACGAGGAAAUUUAUUUUAAGUUUUUAGUCAUCAAGCACCCACCUUGAGAACGAGGGAAUUCAUUUCAAGUUUUAAGUCAUCAGGUGCCCACCUAGAGAACGAGGGAAUUUAUUUCAAAUUUUAAAUCAUCACGCGC
rnacentral:lncRNA from 1 species